GAUGAACGCUGGCGGCGUGCCUAAUACAUGCAAGUCGAGCGAACAGACGAGGAGCUUGCUCCUCUGACGUUAGCGGCGGACGGGUGAGUAACACGUGGAUAACCUACCUAUAAGACUGGGAUAACUUAGGGAAACCGGAGCUAAUACCGGAUAAUAUAUUGAACCGCAUGGUUCAAUAGUGAAAGACGGUUUUGCUGUCACUUAUAGAUGGAUCCGCGCCGCAUUAGCUAGUUGGUAAGGUAACGGCUUACCAAGGCGACGAUGCGUAGCCGACCUGAGAGGGUGAUCGGCCACACUGGAACUGAGACACGGUCCAGACUCCUACGGGAGGCAGCAGUAGGGAAUCUUCCGCGAUGGGCGAAAGCCUGACGGAGCAACGCCGCGUGAGUGAUGAAGGUCUUCGGAUCGUAAAACUCUGUUAUUAUGGAAGAACAAAUGUGUAAGUAACUAUGCACGUCUUGACGGUACCUAAUCAGAAAGCCACGGCUAACUACGUG
rnacentral:rRNA from 1 species